UACGUAGGGUCCGAGCGUUGUCCGGAAUUACUGGGCGUAAAGAGCUCGUAGGUGGUUUGUCGCGUUGUCCGUGAAAACUCACAGCUUAACUGUGGGCGUGCGGGCGAUACGGGCAGACUGGAGUACUGCAGGGGAGACUGGAAUUCCUGGUGUAGCGGUGGAAUGCGCAGAUAUCGAGGAGGAACACCGGUGGCGAAGGCGGGUCUCUGGGCCGAUACUGACGCUGGAGGAAGCGAAAGCGUGGGGAGCGAACAGG
rnacentral:rRNA from 1 species